UACGUAGGUGGCAAGCGUUGUCCGGAAUUAUUGGGCGUAAAGGGUGCGUAGGCGGUUUUUUAAGUGGGAUGUGAAAUACCUAGGCUUAACUUAGGAAUGGCAUUCCAAACUGGAAGACUAGAGUGCAGGAGAGGAAAGUGGAAUUCCCAGUGUAGCGGUGAAAUGCGUAGAGAUUGGGAGGAACACCAGUGGCGAAGGCGACUUUCUGGACUGUAACUGACGCUGAGGCACGAAAGCGUGGGGAGCAAAC
rnacentral:rRNA from 1 species